rnacentral:lncRNA from 1 species
AAAAAAAUUGGUAAAGUAUUUUUUAAUGCAAUUGCAAGUGUCAUUGUGCAUACAGGAAAGGGAAAUGCCAUUGAAUUACUUGACUUGGAUUUCUGAAAGUUAUUUGAUAAACAAAUGUUUCCAAAUAAGCAUCAAACCUUAUGUCUGCAGUAAUCAGACCUAUAAUACAGAGAAAUGUAGACAAACUGACACAAUAAGGAUGAGAGUUCAGUCACACUGAAGCAACUUGAGGAACCAGAAGUUUAUGGCACAAGUCCUUGUGUAUAAAAAAUAACAAUAAUCAUAGCUCAACUGGAGUGUCAUAAAUUUUCUGGCAAAACAGUUGGGAAGGAUACACACUCCAGAUUUUAAUGAAAAAUGAU